GAGUGAAUAGCUUAAGAUUUAAAGCACAAGCUUUUUAAGCUUGGGAUAAAACGGAUUUUACUCA
rnacentral:tRNA from 1 species